rnacentral:rRNA from 1 species
UACGUAGGGUGCAAGCGUUGUCCGGAAUUAUUGGGCUUAAAGGGCUCGUAGGCGGUCCAUCACGUCGGGAGUGAAAAGCUGGGGCUUAACCCCAGUCCUGCUUCCGAUACGGGUGGACUAGAGGUAGGCAGGGGAGAACGGAAUUCCUGGUGUAGCGGUGAAAUGCGCAGAUAUCAGGAGGAACACCGGUGGCGAAGGCGGUUCUCUGGGCCUUACCUGACGCUGAGGAGCGAAAGCGUGGGGAGCAAACAGG